rnacentral:tRNA from 1 species
CAUUGAAUGGCUGAAGUUUUAAGCAUUGGUCUCUUAAACCUAAUUAUAGUGAUACACUUUCAAUG